rnacentral:rRNA from 1 species
GACGAACGCUUGCGGCGUGCCUAAUACAUGCAAGUAGAACGCAGUUGCGAACGGUUGAGUAACGCCUACGUACUUGCCACAUAGCGUGGGAUAACUAUUCGAAACCAUAGCUAAUACCGCAUCCUUUGUAAUGGACCUUCGUUGUGUUAUCUAGUUGGUGAGGUAAAGGAUCACCAAGGCGACGAUCCCUAUCCGCCAUGAGAGGUUGAUCGGCCACACGGGGACUGAGACACAGCCCAGACUCUGACGGGAGGAAGCAGUAGGAAAUCUGCGGCAAUGGACGGAAGUCUGACCGAGCAACGCCGCGUGAGUGAAGAAGGUUUACGGAUCGUAAAGCUAUGUUGUUAGAGAGGCGGUAACUAACCAGAAAGGGACGGCUAACUACGUGCCAGCAGCCGCGGUAAUAC